UUAUACAGACAGGAGAUACAGGUCAUAUUAUACAGGAGAUACAGGUCAUAUUAUACAGGAGAUACAGGUCAUAUUAUACAGGAGAUACAGGUCAUAUUAUACAGACAGGAGAUACAGGUCAUAUAAUACAGGAGAUACAGGUCAUAUUAUACAGGAGAUACAGGUCAUAUUAUACAGGAGAUACAGGUCAUAUAAUACAGGAGAUACAGGUCAUAUUAUACAGGAGAUACAGGUCAUAUAAUACAGGAGAUACAGGUCAUAUUAUACAGUAGAUACAGGUCAUAUUAUACAGGAGAUACAGGACAUAUUAUACAGGAGAUACAGGUCAUAUUAUACAGGAGAUACAGGUCAUAUAAUACAGGAGAUACAGGUCAUAUUAUACAGACAGGAGAUACAGGUCAUAUUAUACAGGAGAUACAGGUCAUAUUAUACAGGAGAUACAGGUCAUAUUAUACAGGAGAUACAGGUCAUAUUAUACAGGAGAUGCAGGUCAUAUUAUACAGGAGAUACAGGUCAUAUUAUACAGGAGAUACAGGUUAUAUUAUACAGGAGAUACAGGUCAUAUUAUACAGGAGAUACAGGUCAUAUUAUACAGACAGGAGAUACAGGUCAUAUAAUACAGGAGAUACAGGUCAUAUUAUACAGGAGAUACAGGUCAUAUUAUACAGGAGAUACAGGUCAUAUAAUACAGGAGAUACAGGUCAUAUUAUACAGGAGAUACAGGUCAUAUUAUACAGGAGAUACAGGUCAUAUAAUACAGGAGAUACAGGUCAUAUUAUACAGGAGAUACAGGUCAUAUAAUACAGGAGAUACAGGUCAUAUUAUACAGACAGGAGAUACAGGUCAUAUUAUACAGGAGAUACAGGUCAUAUUAUACAGACAGGAGAUACAGGUCAUAUUAUACAGGAGAUACAGGUCAUAUUAUACAGACAGGAGAUACAGGUCAUAUUAUACAGGAGAUACAGGUCAUAUUAUA